AUAAUAGCAACAUAGAAUAAACUUAAAUGAUAGUGACAUGGAGCGAACUAAAUAUGAUAGUAGUAGUCGAUUCUUAAUGGUCUUCAACAAAUAUGAGCAUCCCUAAUCAUUCCUUGGCUUGAGAGUGAAAUAGUAGAAUCUGAUCACCAAUACAUUGAAGGUAGAUCAGAAAGACGAGAAAACAAUUAAUAUAAAAUCAGCCGAUAGUUCGUGCAGCGGGCAGUUGAUCGACGACAGUUGUACGAAGCAGUAGCAGUUGAAAAAAAAAAAACAGCAGCAGGGACAAACGCUUAUUUAAACCACAGCCGGACUGCAGUGAGGUUUUUUGGAGUCUCCUCACUGCUGCCGGCUUGGUUUACAAUAUUAGCUGUUUUAGGAUGUCCGACGGAUGAAAGAGCUCUAUUGUCCGAAGAAAAUGAAGUAAAGAAAUUGAGUAAAUACCUGCAAGCGUGUACCGCCGCUUAAUGCAAUCAGCAGAUCAUCCCAUUUGGAGGGAUGAAAUGGACCGAAGAAAUAAAGUAAAGAGAGAAAAAAAAGAAGAGGAAGUGAGCUCACUGAAUGGGAAGCGUUUGUGAAGCACUCAUUUUUCGCUACAUAGCAGCAUUAGACGGGCAGCAAGUGAUGAACUCUGCGUGCGGAGCUACAAUUUGGCUUAUUCUUUCCUUAGCCGAUCUUCGACGCUGGAUGCUGCUAAACGACAUCGUUUAACGGGAGCAUAUAUCACUUUCCGGGAGGAAUAAAUUACCCAUUAAUACCUUCCAACCCUUCGGAUAAUGAUACCGUUUUUCGGGGAAACUGGGAUUUGGGUGGUGAUGUGGUGUUCGGAAAAAUAAAUUAAAUUGCGAUUUCUACUUCAUCGCUUCUGCGUGAUUAUUUUCAGAUCUGGACAAAGUGUAUUCUAAGCUCAUAAAGUUUAUAGAAGUUCCUUAAAAAGAUGAUUGAGGAAACUAGUUUCACGCAUUGCCUACAUUAGUAAAAUACAAGAAAUAUA